GUUUCGCGCACACGUGUAUGGCUGUGUAUACGCGUCGAAGUAGCAGUGAAGGGAGAAGAGCAGCACCGAUUAGAGACAACCGUGCAUGCUACUUCGGAGGGUGUCACAGUCCAUGUGGCGCUCGUAAAGCAGAGAGUGGAACCGGGCCGGGUGGUUUUCUGCUUCACUCCAGAUAAACGUGAUGAAGCUAGACAAGGGGAGGGUGGGCAGGGGUUCCUGUCAGUGGCUCUCAUUCGUGCCCCGCCUUCCUCUCUGUCACUCGCAUUCGCUGCGGGGACAUGUCUCCAGGGCCCAUGCGACCGCAGCACAAGCACGAGAUUCACCCAGCGAGCCCGACGCCCCGCCCCUUUUUUUUUCCAUGUUUUUUUUUUCCGUUUCCCAUGUCUUGUGCAACAUGUCCUCGCAUGCUGCGCGUGUCUCUCACUCGCUCGCCCUCUCUCUCUGUGUAUGCGCUGCACGCAAUCCGCGCACGCAAACUCGGCGGCCAACACGGAAGCAAAGCGGCGGCAUUCAAUAGAGUGCGCAUCCCGUCUCUACCUCAUCGGGGCCGUGUUCUCUCCGCCCCUGCCCUUCCUCCCCAACGCCACUGCCACCACGCGACGCGCAUAUGCAUGAUGAUCAUCCAAGUACAAUCGCAUCUAUUUUUCUGAGCCGGACGUGAAUCGAGACUUGCUUCGUUCCUUGCAUUCACAUGUGAUGUGGACGUUUCUGAAGCUAACGUGUGUGUGCGUGUGUCCGUUUUCUUUGUCCCCCUCCAUGACGAUGCUUGAGGUGUUUUGACCUCUGCAUUCUUGGGCUUCGCAUCACUUCGCUGAGACGCAGAUGUCGAUCUACCUCGUCUCCGUUCCGUGGAGCGGGGGGGGGGGGAACAGCUUCGGUAGUGCCCUGUGAAGGUCUUUGUAUCUGUGUGAGAUAUCCCUUUCCCUAACAGAACGUGCGUGUCGGUAUUGGUGUGUACAUAUGAGUGUCUUGUGCGCUUCGGAGCGCGCGACUCGAUGGACUGCGUCUUGAAAGGGCCCGUUGCUCUGCCGUCAGCUGCCCCGAUGGUGGAUGGCGAACUAGAACCGCGUGUGUGCGACUGCGCUGCUGCUGCUGGGGAGUACCACGAUGACUUGUCCCCUUCCCCGGCGGGUGUAUCCUCACAACAAACAUCGCACACCGACCAUGUGCCCAGACAGCACAAGAGAGAGCGAAAGAGGGACACUCGUGUCGCCUGGCAAGUUGGGUUUAUGCGCGAAGAACGUGAUGAUCAUCCAAGUGCAAUCGCAUCUAUUUUUCUGAGCCGGACGUGAAUGGAGACUUGCUUCGUUUCUUGCGUUCACAUGUGAUGUGGACGUCUCUGACUCGGAUGGGCAACCCUCACCUUCUUGUGGCCGCGAGUGAUUUCCUGGCCUCUCUUGGAGUUGUGCUGUCGUUUGGGCUUUGCGACGGAGGCUCGAAGCAACGGGGUGGAGGAGAGGUGAGGAGAACAAGAAAGGAUCUUGAAGCAUGCGUGCUUGCGAUGCCUGGAGAAGCGAUCAAGUGAGUGCGAUGCAACGGUGCGGGUAGAUGCGAAAGGAAGGCGCCUGUGCAAGAGGGUCACGGAACCCCCCUGUUGGUGAAGCCGGAGUGAAAACGUCGCUUCGCCGUGUUCGGAGGCGCGUGCCGCUCACGUUUGCUUUCAGCGAUAAGUCUCCUUGCGCAGGAGAGCGGCAGGCGCCCCUCCUCCUCCCCCCCCCCUUUAGCGUCCCUGCGAGGAACGAGAGAGAGAAAUCGCACGAGACGCAGAAGGGCUUGCAAGUAAAGACCGAUGUUUCACAGAAUGG
rnacentral:misc_RNA from 1 species